rnacentral:rRNA from 1 species
GGUUAAAAAGCUCGUAGUUGGAUUCCUGUAUGGAAGGGGCGUCCCCACCCUUUGGAUGGGGGUUGCUACCUUCUUUGCGUCUUCCGGAGUAGGUGUUCCUCACUUAACUGUGAGGACAUCGUGCUCGGGUCAUUUACUUUGAGGAAAAGAGAGUGCUCCAAGCAGGCAAACGCCUGAAUACGUUAGCAUGGAAUAAUAGCAUCGGAUCAUCGUUCAGCUGUUGGUGUCUGAUCGAUGGUAAAGGUGAACAGGGAUUGUUGGGGGCAUUCGUAUUUAACUGUCAGAGGUGAAAUUCUUGGAUUUGUUGAAGACGAGCUACUGCGAAAGCAUUUGCCAAAGAUGUUCUCAUUGAUCAAGAACGAAAGUUAGGUGAUCGAAGACGAUCAGAUACCGUCCUAGUCUUAACCAUAAACUAUGCCAACUGGAGAUAGGACGUGUUUAUUUUACGACUCUUCCUGCAUCUUGAGAGAAAUCAAAGUCUUUGGGUUCCGGGGGGAGUAUGGUCGCAAGGCUGAAACUUAAAGGAAUUGACGGAAGGGCACCACCAGGAGUGGAGCCUGCGGCUUAAUUUGACUCAACACGGGGGAAACUUACCAG